AAACCAAACAUUACUUCAACCAUAAAUUCUCAUAUUAUUCACUAAAUCUCAGUUUACAGGAAGACAUUUGUAUUGUAAAGACCGACUUGAAUACGAGUUCUAGUGCUGUGGUCAUCUAAUCACUAAUGACAUUUAUUAGGUCACUGGAACUCCGUCACAACACGUUGGGUAAUGGUAUGAGAUGAGGACCGUCCGGGUGUUUCCUCCCAACACCACAAUAUUCGUAUGGAUUAUGACUAUAAAAUAAAAAGAGGUGGACUGUCCUGAUGAGGUCACGUCCCGGCCUGUAGUCUGGAGCCUUCACAUGUGUGAAGCGCUGCAGCACGGCGCCGGUGGAUCAGGAGGCCGUCAACCAGGUCAGAGAUUAUCACAACAUGUACUUAUUUGCAUACUUGCUCGCUGAUCCGGGAGCAGCUUUGAUGAACGUGAUCCAGAGGGAUUCUGUGGUGGUUGAACGGGUUUUGAUCCUCGGUUCGGCAGGUCCGACUCUCACGAGAUGAAGGAACUGAUGUUAUUUGCAGUUAUUUCUCAUGGGGGUCUGGGGAGCUUGUGAAGGGAGAAACACUGAGCGGGUUUAACACACACAAGUUCAUGCGAGUCCACGUGUGGAAAGUAGCACACACAACGGCGCUUUUUUUCCUUCAACUAUUUCCAUAAUACUAAGUCAAAAGAAGGAAUGAGUUAUGUUUUUUCUGUUUACUUGAAAUUGACAUAAAAACACACUCCUUUACUAAAGGUGGCAAUUAAAAAAAAAUGAAAUUGCAUAAAAUAAUUCCCUACCUGUGGUUUCAAUUCAAAUUGCAUGUGUCCUCAUGCUUUGCUUCUCUUCUAUUGCGGGAGGCGUUGAGAUGAGUACACAGCAGUUAGCAAUACAAAAACACUAUUAAAAGCCAAUUAUGUUUCUAAAUCCUUGACCCUGGGAUCAAGAGAUCAUAUGAUUGCAAUACUCACUCAAGGACAUAAUUCAAGAAAUUGUCACAAAACUUAUUUGCAUACUCACUCGCUAAUCCAGGAUUAUCGAAAAUAGCUAAAAUUCCACCUCUAAACAUUUGCCUUUUCUUUUCAGCAUUUUUUUCCUGUUUUUUGUAACGUCGGUUAAAAUGAUCUGUAAAGAUCGUUUGAUCAACUCAUGCAAUUUAUAAAAGGUGACUCUUUAACCGAUUUGUUUCUUUUCAGACGAUACAUAUUGCUAGAUGUUUUGAAAAAAACAAGGUGUACAAACUGACUUUGGAGAGCAGAAAAUAGCCUUUCACCAGUGAAGUAGAUGUGUAUAAGAUGAGGAAACAUACUAAGUCCAAUCUGUCCCUAAUGGACAUAUUGGUUCACGCACUGUGGUGUUCUAAUAUUCUGUCUGAGAACCUUUGGUCAAACCUUUUAUAUGAUGAUCAACUAUUAAAUCCUCGUUGCCUCACUGGCCCAAGUCAACUCAGCAACUCCGUGUUGGGUCACAACAGUGAACUCAGUGGACGGAGCCACAUUUGUUUGUACGACGAGUCAGCUGCCAUAAAUUAGUUUUAUAGUUUAUGGACCUGAGCCACCCGUUCUCUUAGAGUUUCCAUGGUGUACUGUUUGGUUUCUCAUUAAUUUAAGUUUGAUUUUGCUGUUUUUUUCAAUCAAGGGAUCAUAAUACACUUCCAUAUAAUACGUGCAUAUAAUUACUUUUAUAGUAAUUGAGCCACUCAGUAGUCAGUGAUGUGCCACUGAGUAGUCAAUGAGGUGCCACUGAGUAGUCAGUGAGCAGAAUGGUACCACUGAGUCGUCAGUGAGCAGAAUGGUGCCACUGAGUCGUCAAUAAGGUGCCACUGAGUAGUCAAUGAGGUGCCACUGAGUCGUCAGUGAGCAGAAUGGUGCCACUGAGUCGUCAAUAAGGUGCCACUGAGUAGUCAAUGAGGUGCCACUGAGUAGUCAGUGAGCAGAAUGGUGCCACUGAGUAGUCAGUGAGCAGAAUGGUGCCACUGAGUCGUCAGUGAGCAGAAUGGUGCCACUGAGUCGUCAGUGAGCAGAAUGGUGCCACUGAGUCGUCAAUGAGCAGAAUGGUGCCACUGAGUCGUCAGUGAGCAGAAU
ensembl:lncRNA